rnacentral:sRNA from 1 species
AUUGUAACCUGGGUUGUAAGAAAGGGAG